UGAACGCUAGCGGCAGGCCUAACACAUGCAAGUCGAGGGGUAGGGUGCUUCGGCACUUGAGACCGGCGCACGGGUGCGUAACACGUGUACAAUCUACCUUUUGCUAAGGGAUAGCCCGAAGAAAUUUGGAUUAAUACCUUAUAGUAUUGUUUGGUGGCAUCACUGAAUAAUUAAAGCUCUGGUGGCAAAAGAUGAGUACGCGUCCCAUUAGCUAGUUGGUGUGGUAACGGCAUACCAAGGCUACGAUGGGUAGGGGUCCUGAGAGGGAGGUCCCCCACACUGGUACUGAGACACGGACCAGACUCCUACGGGAGGCAGCAGUGAGGAAUAUUGGACAAUGGUCGGAAGACUGAUCCAGCCAUGCCGCGUGCAGGAUGACGGCCUUAUGGGUUGUAAACUGCUUUUAUACAGGAAGAAUAAGGUCUACGWGUAGAUUGAUGACGGUACUGUAUGAAUAAGCAUCGGCUAACUCCGUGCCAGCAGCCGCGGUAAUACGGAGGAUGCGAGCGUUAUCCGGAAUCAUUGGGUUUAAAGGGUCCGUAGGCGGGCUUAUAAGUCAGAGGUGAAAGCACUGAGCUCAACUGAGUAACUGCCUUUGAAACUGUAGGUCUUGAAUGUUUGUGAAGUAGCUGGAAUG
rnacentral:rRNA from 1 species